UCUUCCUGGGGCAGGACUUGCUGAAGCACACUCCUGCCAGCCACCCUGACCACCCCUUGCUGCAGGACGCCCUCCGCAUCUCACAGAACUUCCUGUCCAGCAUCAAUGAGGAGAUCACACCCCGACGGCAGUCCAUGACGGUGAAGAAGGGAGAGACCGGCAGCUGCUGAAGGACAGCUUCAUGGUGGAGCUGGUGGAGGGGGCCCGCAAGCUGCGCCACGUCUUCCUGUUCACCGACCUGCUUCUCUGCACCAAGCUCAAGAAGCAGAGCGGAGGAAAACGCAGCAGUAUGACUGCAAAUGGUACAUUCCGCUCACGGAUCUCAGCUUCCAGAUGGUGGAUGAACUGGAGGCA
rnacentral:lncRNA from 1 species